rnacentral:rRNA from 1 species
GACGAACGCUGGCGGCGUGCUUAACACAUGCAAGUCGAACGGUGAAGCGCCUUCCUUUUUGGUCUGUGUGGAUGAGUGGCGGACUGGGGAGUAACACGUUAGUAACCUUCCCCCUUCUGCAGGAUAACCGCAUGAAAGUGUGGCUACUACGGGAUAUUCUGGAUCUGUCGCAUGAUUGGUCUGGGACAGAUUUUCUUUCGGUGGUGGAUGGGCUCGCGGCCUAUCAGCUUGUUGGUGAGGUGAGGGCCUACCAAGGCGGCGAUGCGUAGCCGGCCUGAGAGGAGGGUGGACGGCCAGAGGGGGGAGGAGAGGCGGAGAAGACUACUGGGGGAGGCAGCAGUGGAGAUUAUGGCACAGUGGGAGGAAGGCUGAAGCAGCGACGCGGCGGGAGGGAUGGAGGCCGUAGGGUUGUGAACCGCUUUCGGGAGUGAAGCAGGCCGGACUUGAUUGUGGGUGGGUUGACGGUAGCUGGAUAAGAAGCGCCGGCUAACUACGUG